rnacentral:rRNA from 1 species
UACGUAGGGUGCAAGCGUUGUCCGGAAUUAUUGGGCGUAAAGAGCUCGUAGGCGGUUUGUCGCGUCUGCUGUGAAAACUCGGGGCUUAACUCCGGGCCUGCAGUGGGUACGGGCAGACUAGAGUGCGGUAGGGGAGACUGGAAUUCCUGGUGUAGCGGUGAAAUGCGCAGAUAUCAGGAGGAACACCGGUGGCGAAGGCGGGUCGCUGGGCCGUAACUGACGCUGAGGAGCGAAAGCGUGGGGAGCAAACAGG